UUUCCCUCAGGAUAGCUGGAGCCCAUUACGAGUUCUAUCGGGUAAAGCCAAUGAUUAGAGGCAUCGGGGGCGCAACGCCCUCGACCUAUUCUCAAACUUUAAAUAGGUAGGACGGCGCGGCUGCUCCGGUGAGCCGCGCCACGGAAUCGGGAGCUCCAAGUGGGCCAUUUUUGGUAAGCAGAACUGGCGAUGCGGGAUGAACCG
rnacentral:ncRNA from 1 species